rfam:Burkholderia sp. AD24 chromosome I sequence.
GUAUUCUUUCGCGCAUGAACCGCAUCCAAUCCGAACUCCGACGUCGCCGCUCGCCGCUCCCUUAGGGACGCCGCUGGCUUCGUCACGGAUUCGCGCCACACCCAGGCGCACGCAGUUCGAAUCAUGAAAGCCACGGCAUGCCGUGGCUUUUUU